rnacentral:lncRNA from 1 species
UUUUUUUUUUGAGUCACGCCAGGUCGUUGGACACUUGGACUCGUGCGUGUUUUCGUUUCUGCUCGGCUAGACCAGAGAGACCGGCCGGCCCAUCAGGCCCUUCUUCUCCCCGACGAGAGAGAGUUUGCUCCGGACUCGGGUUCUCUUCUCCCCUCGAGCUCCCACGCCGCACGCCCCUCAUCUCCAUCCCCUCCGUCUCCUCUCCCACGCGCCGCGGCAAUCCCCACCACUCCCAACGUCACCGGCGCCAGGCCAGCUCCACCCAACAUCCAUCACCCAGAACACGAGAUCCGAAAGGCGGGCGGGCGGCGGCGGCGGCGGCGCGGAGGAUGGCGGCCACGCUGCCGCAGCUGGACGACGGCGUCGUCCGCGGCAUGGCCAUCGGCGCGGUCUUCACCGACUACGUGAGCUCCAUUGCCUACCCCCCCACCCCACCCCCAGCCCGCCCCCUGUUUGUUCCUUCUGCCCACGCUAAUCUGCCGCGGCGAAUCCGUUGGCAGGCCGGGAAGAUAAUCUGCCUCGAUUUCCACCGCAAGGAGGACCUCCUCGUCACCUCCAGCGAGGACGACUCCAUUCGCCUAUACAACACCACCAGCGCCACGUGAGUCCGCCGCCCCCGCUUGGGUUUACAUCUGCUCUGUUAGUGCUUCUGUCCGUGUUAACUGAACCUCGGUGUGCUAGAGAGGUCACAUCAUGUGGGCGGGAAGUGUCUGGGAUCUACUGCAUUUUGAUUGUUGGCCUAUAGAUUUGAGUGGCAGUGCUGGGUUCUGCUGUUUGGGGAUACCGGUAAUGUGCUACUUUGAUCUUAGUGGUGUCUAGCAGUGAUGCCCCUGUGAUUAUGUUAGUAAUAAAAUUUAUGGUGAUUUGCUUCACAAGUUACAACAGCAUUAGGCCAUUGACUAUUUGUGAUGCAAACCCCUAGUAAUCUGAUGUUGCAUGUGUUAGACAUAAUUCUGUAGGAUUACAUGAUAGGAUCUUUAGGCCUAGGCAUUAGAUCCCAAAAAUAUGAUUAAACAGAGAGGUAGAUCUGCAGGGGCACAAACGUUGGUCCAUGGCUCCGCCCCUUUACGUUACGUUAUCCUUCCAUCCCAGUGGGCCGUAGUCUCAUAGAUCAAUUCCAACAUUCCCCUCCUUGUUCGUUAGGCUCAACUACUUUUGCCCAUUGUCCAUAGGAAUAAUAUAUGAAAGUAAGGUGUCACAACAACCAAUGAAAUGUCAUUGAACCUCAAUACUUAUAGUACGCAUCCUGUUUUGAAAUGGAAAAACAUUACUUAUUGGGAGUAGUUCAUGUUAACGGUCCCAUAAUUCUAGGAUCGGAAGGCUUCCCAUAAUGCCAUGCCGGCUACAUGCUCAUGAAAAAUAGUGGGUGUUAAGCUUUUAGUGAGCGGAUCCGCAAGCAUACUUGUCGUACUAAUAUGCUUAACAUAAAUAGUUUGAUCAUGGAUUCUAUCUUUCACAACAUGAUACUGUUUGUCAAUGUGCUUGGCAGCAACACUUAACUUGCUGUUGCUCGUAUAGAAAACUACGAGUUCAUUAUCGCAGUAUAAUGUUAGUGGUUCAGGGAUUUCUUACUAACCACACACCCGACAAAAUCAGCGUAUGAAUAACCAACAACUUCCACUUUAUCAGACCUUCUAUACGUAAGCAUGAAAUCUUUAGUGCCUUGCACGUAACACAAUACUUUCUUUGUGGCCUUUAAAUUUAUCAAUGUUCAGAAUAUCGGUAACUGGUACCAUAUUGGUCGGGUGCUGAGUAUGGAUAAAUCGGUGAAUCGCCCUAUUAGCUGAAUAUAUUAGUAACCCAUUUAUCGGUAGGUUAACCAGGGCCAUAUCUAUAUAUCCUAGGCUUAAUAGGUUAACUAGGGCCCUAUUAACUGAAUUAACUGGUACCAUAUUCAGCACAGCAGCAACACCAAUGUUUUAAAGGAGAGCACAACAGCAGCAAGAACACAAGUGCAGAACAGCAGCAGUAGGAGUGUGGUACAUAACAGAGGAGAGGGGUUUACCUUGCUGUUGCCUUAGCCAAAAAAGUGCCUGACAGUUUAUCGGCCAACCGAUAAUUCAGCCUGACAGCCGAUAAAUCGGUUUGUCAGACUGAUAAACUGCCCCUACCAGUUAAUGAAUCAAAUAGGGCCUUUUCAUAUCGGAACGGGUCCGAAUAGCGAUUAACUGAUUAACUGGCCGAGCUUUGGAACAUUGAAUAUAACAUAUAUGCAGAUGUCCACUUCAUUUUCUUUUAUUUAAACCAGAAGUGCAGAUGUCCACUUCAUUUUCUUUUAGACCGGAAGUUCUAAUAAUCUUAUCGAACUUGAGGUACCAUUGUCAAGAAGUUUGCUUCCAGCCAUAAAUGGAUUUCUUUAAAUGAUCUGCCAUGUGUUUUUUCCUUCCAUGGCAAAACCUUCCGGUCAUGUCAUGUACACAUCUUCGUUCAAGAAUGAUGUCUUGACAUCCAUUUGAUGUAGCUCUAAAUCAUAAUGAGCUGCAAGUGCCAUGAAAAUUCUGAAAGAAUCUUUAGAUGGCACAUGUGAGAAGGUCUCAUUAUAAUAGAUCAUUCUCUUUGUGCGAAACCUUUUGCUACAAGUCUUGCUUUGAAGUUAGAACCUUUUGACGUCCCCUUUGGUAUCAUAUUUGGUUUUUCAGACUCACUUGCAGCUUGCCUUUUUGCUCCAUCAGAACUUCUACCAAGUCCCAAACAUCAUUUGAACUCAUAGACUUCAUCUCGUCUUUCAUGGCAACCAACCAUUUGGACGAUUUUUCACUUUCAGUGGCUUCCUUAUAUGAGACCAGAUGUUCUACCUUCCCUAUGUCAUUUACAUCCUCACUCAUGUAAGUGACAAAGUCGCUUGGGAUGGUUCCUUUCCCUUGUGAUCUUCUCAUGGGCUCAUUACUUUGUACAUUUCUUCUUGCACGGGGAGGACGAGGAUUAACACCAGGUUGAGGAUCAUCAAUAGAUUGAGAAACCUCAUCAUGCUUCAGGAUCACUAGUAGGUGUCUCGUGCAUAUUACGCCUAGGGACAAAAUUCUCUUGGAUAAUUGGGGAUAUAACAUACACCUGCUUCUCCUCAGAUCAAUUGCCCUAGCCUUUGUGACUACAUUAUCCUCAAAAACACCGCUUGCCCGAUGUCCACAAACUUGGUGGUAUGACAUGGGCAACCCUUUCCUCUAUGAGCUUACCCAAUGAAAAAUCAACUAAUUGUCUUUGGGCCUACUUUUAAAUUUGUGGAUUCAUACUUUAGCUUUAGCAGGGGCAGCCCCACACACGCAAGUAAUUUGAGCUUGGUUUCUUGUCCACAUCUCAUAAGGUGUGCCCGUUGCUGACUUAGUUGAACAAGAUUUAGCACAUGCACGACUGGCUUUAAUGCCCCCAUCCAAAGGUUCACUGGUGAUCUUGAGCAGCUAAGCAUGGUUCACACCAUAUCCAUAAGGGUGUGAUUGCGACGCUCAGCCACGCCAUUUUGGUGAGGUUCACCAGGUGUUAAAUAAUGAGUCCAUUCACAGUUCGGAACUUGGUAAUAAGUUCCUAAUCUACCUCUAUGUUUAAUCAUGUUUAGGUGAUCUAAUGUCUAGGCCAAACAUUCUAUUGUAAAGAAUUAUGUCUUAACAUUGGUAUCAGAGCGUUCCAUUCCCCCCUCGUAAUGUGGCCCAAACGAUGGUGCCAUAAUUUUGAAGAAUUACUGACACCUUUCCAUCUCUUCUCAUCUUCCAUUCAUCACUCACAUACGUAAAAAUAAUAAUUAAGGAAUAACAUGUAUAAUUUGCCUCAUCUGCCUCUGAGGCCAACAUUUUUAUUACACUGAUUUAAAAUGAAUUGUUUGUUGCCAAACAUGCAUCCAUACAUGUCAUCAUCCACGCAAGAAACAGAAACUAAAUUCCUACUUAACUAGAUACAUAAAGACCAUUAUUUCAUUGAAGCCUGUAGCUGAUGUGAAGCUCCAAUGUGAGAGAUCCUGCAAUUUCAACAUCGACUUCAAUUCCAUCAGCUACCUUAAGUUUUCUUGCCGCUUGAGUUAUAAUUUCGGUCGUAACGAAUCCCUACAUGGAGUUAGCAACAUGAGCAGUUGCACCUGAAUCAAUCCACCAUGACAUUCUAGAGAAAUCAACAUAAAUCAUUUCAUCAUCAAAAGUUAUUUCAUCAAUACCUUUUUUGUUAGCCAUUUGAGAAGCCCAGACAAUCCCUCUUAACAUGUUCUGGGUGUUUGCAGAAGUUGCAGUCUCUCUCCAUCAAUAUUCGUAGCAUUAACAUUAGAGGGAGCUGGAGGAGCCAAACGAGAGCAACUUGGCUCUUUACAUCCUUGGGCUUUGGCUCAUCUUUCUUGAAGACUUGCUUUUUGUUGAGCUUAUGAUGCCAUGGUUUCAUUCUCUCUCUUUGCAGAGUUCACAUGAAAAACAUGGUCCUUUUGUUCGCCUCUCUGUUCAAGUUGCUCUCGUUCUGCUCCUCCAACCCUCUCUAAUGUUAAUGCUAUGAAUGUUGAUGGAGAGAGACUUUGCAUCUUUUCCAAACACCCAGGACAUAUUAAGAGGGAUUGCCCAGACUUUCUCAAAUGGCUCAACAAAAAAGAUAUCGAUGAAAUCACUUUUGUUGAUGAAGCUCUUUAAGUUGAUUUCUCUUGAUUGUCAUGGUAGAUUGAUUCAACUGCAACUGCUCAUUUUGCUAACUCCUUGUAGGGAUUCGUUAUGACCCAAAUUAUAACUCACGGGACAAGAAAACUUAAGGUAGCUAAUGGAAUUGAAGUCGAUGUUGAGACUGCAGAUCUCUCACAUUGAAGCAAUAAAUCAUAACUAUUGCCCGACUCCCCUUAGGAGCCAGAACCCUAAAACCCUAGCCGCCUCUCACCACCGCCGCCGCCUCGCCCCGUGUGAUCACGGUGCUGACGCGUCGCCGACCGCGCCCAACCUCUCGCCAACCCACCUCUCACCCCUACAACCUACGGUCGAGACCCGGUAGGACCCUAGCGCCUCAUCACCGUGGCUGAUGCCCUGUCCUGUUGCGACGCCUACCCCAACUCGGACGCCAUCGACCCCGCGGGGGCGGCCCUUUGCAUCCGUUCGGGGCCCUCCUUCGCCCUCAUUGAGGACAUGCGCCGGGCCACCGCGGACGCUACGGACGCUCAGCUCCUUCGGCAGCGCCUCGACGCUGGCGACUUGGAGGAGCCAUGGUGCUUGGCAGAUGGCUUGCUCCUGCACGGGCGCCGACUUUUCGUGCCGGAUCACGGCGACCUCCGUCACUAGGUCCUGCUGCUGGCCCACUCAUCCGGCCAUGAGGGCGUGCAGAAGACCCUCCACCGUCUCCGCGCCAACUUCUACAUCCCCAGUGACCGGGCCCUGGUCCACGAUUGGGUGCGGUCUUGCCUGACGUGCCAGCGCAACAAGACGGAGAAGCUGCGACCGGCCGGGCUGCUCCAGCCCCUGGAGGUGCCCUCUCAGGUUUGGGCCGACAUCUCCAUGGACUUCAUCGAGGGCCUCCCCAAGGUGGGCGGCUAGUCCGUCAUCCUUACGGUGGUCGACCGCUUCUCCAAGUACGCACACUUCAUCGCGCUUGGCCAUCCCUACACUGCCGCCUCCGUGGCGCGUGCCUUCUUCGACGGCACCGUCCGCCUACACGGGUUCCCCUCUUCGAUCGUCAGCGACCGGGACCCGGUGUUCACUGGGCAUGUCUGGCGCGAUCUCUUUCGGAUGGCGGGCGUGAAGCUGCGCCUGAGUACAGCCUUCCAUCCUCAGACGGACGGUCAAUCUGAGGUGGUCAACAAGGUGAUUGCCAUGUAUUUGCGUUGUGUUACAGGUGAUCGUCCCGGUGCUUGGGUGGACUGGCUCGCGUGGGCGGAGUACUGCCACAACACUUCAUACCACUCCGCCCUACGCGCCACGCCUUUUGAGGUGGUCUAUGGCCGACCGCCCCCGCCCAUCCUACCGGUUGACCCCGAGACGGCGAGGACGGAGGCGGCUGGCGACCUUCUUCGCAGCCGGGAUGAGAUGCUUGCGGAGGUGCACCAACGACUUCUCCAGGCCCAGCAGCUGUCCAAGCACUACUACGACGCCCACCACCGCGAGGCGGAGUUCGCGGUGGGCGACUGGGUGUGGCUGCGCCUCCUUCACCGCUCCACACAGUCCCUCGACCCGCGCGCGAAGCGCAAGCUGGGUCCUCGCUACGCCAGGCCAUUUUCCGUGCUGGAGUGCAUCGGAAAGGUUGCCUACCGCCUUCAGCUUCCGGCCGGUGCCCGCAUCCAUGACGUCUUCCAUGUGGGGUUGCUGAACUCUUCCGUGGGGACCCGCCGGCGAACAUGAUUGAAUAGAGAGAUUAUUAGGAACUUAGGAUCAGUUCUUUUGGGGCUUAUGGGUGGCUGCCAAAAUAAGCUGCCCCCACCCAGCUUAUUCUGGCAGCCCAACCUAAAGUUUUACUCUAGAAGAAGCCUACUAAUUAAAAGCUUAUUUUAGCAGCCAUCCAUAAGCCUGAAAAGAACUGUCCCUUAUUGCCAAUGGGUGCAGCCAUUGGCUUAGUGGGGCGAUGUCCCGCGCCUGCUCGAUGCAGGCGUGACAUAGGCUCGGUGAAGAUGUCGGUCGCGGGUACCGGCGAUCAUCUGGACGCCACCGGCACUGUUUGGUGCCGUCGGAGAUGGCCUUCCUGUUGCAGCAGCGCCUCCCCUAGAUCGGUUUAGGGGUUUGGGAUGUGGGGAGCAGCAGAAAACUGUAUGCGAACUGGUCAUACGUACCCCCCCCCCCCCUCUUUAUAUGGCCCUGGCGAUCAGGCAGCCGAGACAACGUUGGUUCGCCCCUGAUCAAGGCGCCUUAGUUUGGGGCGAGGGGCACGAACGUUGGUUCGUGGCCCUCCCCUUUAUGUUACGUUAUCCUUCCAUCCCAGUGGGCCGUAGAUCAAUUCCAACAGCAUGCUGGUCAGUACGAUCCACUUAGAUGAUUUAGUGUUGUUUGUACUGAGUAUUUGUUCAUGGUUAUGCUGCAGUAUGCCAUGGUCUUAUUUUUUUCCCUACUAGAGUUGUUUGUUUUUCUUUGUCAGAUUUAACUUUUUUGUAUGCGACCCUGCAUGAUGCCGGCAUUUUGCUUUGUUUCAUGCAAUUGUGUCAUUGACUAUUAUUGACGAAUGCUAGAAUUUUUUUAGGUUGUCGAAGACAACUUAUCAUAAAAAACAUGGUGCUGACCGUGUCUGUUUUACUCAUCAUCCGAGUUCCAUAUUAUGUUCAUCAAGAUACAAUGUGGAGUCAGGAGAAUCACUUCGUUACCUGUCAUUGUAUGACAACCGUUGCUUGAGAUAUUUCAAAGGACACAAAGACAGGUUCAACAAAUUUUCCUUGGAUUCUUGUUUGUAGCAACUAUUUCAAGGGUCAGAUGCUGAGGCCUGCAUUCUUUUUUAUGUCAUUUCAGGGUUGUUUCACUAUGUAUGUCACCUGUCAAUGAUAGCUUUAUGUCGGGGUCACUUGAUCACAGUGUCAGAAUAUGGGAUCUUCGUGUAAAUGCUUGUCAGGUUUGGCCACAGAAUCUGUUAAUUUGAUCACAAAUAACUUCAAUAUGCAUAUUUUGUAUUUAGUUGAUGAAAAGUACCAAUUUAUCCUCUUGAGUGCUUUUCAUGCUUACACGUUUAGCAUUCAGGGUAUACUACGUCUGCGUGGUAGGCCUUCUGUUGCAUAUGAUCAGCAGGGACUUGUUUUUGCUGUAGCAAUGGAGGGAGGUGCUAUUAAGCUGUUCGAUUCUCGGUCAUAUGACAAGGUCUGUAUUGAACUUGAAUCUGGAAGUCAUAUAUCUAGAAAGCAUGUGAAAUUCUUAAUCUUGUGCAAGAAACCACUUUCAGGGUCCGUUUGACACUUUCUUGGUUGGUGGAGAUACGGCUGAAGUGUCUGACAUUAAAUUCAGCAACGAUGGCAAGUCUGUGCUUUUGACUACAACUAACAACCAUAUAUAUGUUCUGGAUGCAUAUGGAGGGGAGAAGGUCAGUUGGCGCUAUAAUUGCAGAGUUUUGCUUCAGAUAUCGAGCUGUAAAGUGCAUAUUUUCCUAUAUCUUAUCAUUAACAACAUAACAUAUUAACUCAUCUUUGUCUGUUAUUUUGCAGAAGUGUGGCUUCAGUUUGGAGCCAUCUCGCAACAUAGCAACUGAAGCUGCUUUCACUCCAGAUGGUCAAUAUGUAAUUUCAGGUAUUAUUCAGUUUUUUCGUGCAUCAUCCUUAGGAUAUUCUGAUGCAUACUACCUCUAAACUUACCCACAUGUUGACCUGUAAUUAAGCCUUAGCGUGUAAUAUCAUCUCAGUCUCACUCCUUUUCUACUUGUCGCCUUUUAAUUUGGGAAGAGAGCUUAUAAGAUUCAUCAAUAUAUUUUUCACCUUGAACUUGUGUGUAGCUGUUUUAUCAGCAUUAGAGAGGCACUUGUAGUUAUAGUUUUAUAUACUGCUUUCACGCCAAGUAAAAAGUUAAAAGAUCAUAGCGAUGAUAAUACAUCUGAUAUGGUGGUAUGCUUCCCAUUCUCACUUCUGGAGCACUAUUGCUGAAAGUGAAACUUGGAAAUGUCAAAUUUGCUAGAAUGCUUUAGAAAAAACACUGACCAGGCUGCGUGGCAAAAGCUGUUGCUGAAAAUAACAUACACAUUGAUGUUGCAGGCUCUGGUGAUGGUACCUUGCAUGCUUGGAACAUCAAUACAGUACAGGAGGUAGGUACCACUUUCUUAAACUUUGAUCACAGCCCUGUGUUUUGUUGGCUUAAUUUUUUUUUCCUGUUGCAGAUUGCCUGUUGGAACAGUCAUAUUGGUCCUAUCACUGCUUUGAAAUGGGCCCCUCGUCGAGCUAUGUUCGCAACUGCAUCAACCGCACUAACUUUCUGGAUUCCCAACGAGUCCAGUUCGAGUUAGGUCCUUGAAAAGGAAGAUGGAACGCGGAAUACACUAACUUAACAAAAGGCUUGUAUCAUGUUCUUUCCUUGACAGGACAGGUACUAUGUGUGAAGUAUCACUUGUUUUAUUACCAUAUAUGUGGAAGCAGUGAUGUUGGUUCCCUGUAGCAUGUAUUGAAGUGCUCCCUUUAUUUCUCAAGUACGUAUAUAAUAUUGCACGCUUGCCCAUUAUGUUCUCUUGUGGUUCCAUCAUCGUACAUAAAAUCGCCCUGGAUUCUUCCCCUGUGCUAUCUUAAUGCAUUUGUCUUGGAGAAUCAGGGAACUUGUUCGAUAUUCUUUUGUUGCUGGAACAGGGUAGACUUUUGCUGAGAAUAUCAUAAGCUGUCCUCCUUAUGUCGCUAAAGCUCUCAGAUUCCUGAUAUUCAUUAUCACCCAAAGAAGAUGAGGGCAUAACCUUCUCUUUGUUUUGCUGAGUCAUUAUGUGGGAACCUGAUCCUUCCGUGUCACCUUGUUAGACACCUUGUUAUUCUCAGAAAAGCCGCUGAUUUAAACCAUUGGUAACUUUAUAUUCUUAGAAAAGCAGAUGAUUUAAAUCACUGCUGGCUUUUAAAAGGUGUUGAUAAUCCUGACUGUAAAACUUUUAAAAGAUAUCAGAACAAUUACAGCAGCUUCACCUUGUAGAAGUUUUCAGUAUCCUGGAGGAGGUUCUCUUAAUGGUUGGAUAUUCAAUCAUGUGCGCCUUGGGGUAAGUAAUCCCAAGCGCUCAUCUUACAUCCACCUGAUUUCAUGUCUAUUUUGGCACUGAUGAUUUUCAUUAGCAGUAGCUUGAAGAACUGCCAUGGGAAUACACCUGCUAACUUCUCUAAUGCAACAAUACAAGAAGAGACCAAACGAAAGGGCAGGGUGCACAUUACAGAACCAUCAGUCGUCUACACCAAAGCGGUCCAUCAAACCCAAAAUAGCGCCUUGCAUCAUUAUUAUUACUGGGAGCAGCAAGGCGCAACAUACAACAUGAAGCACUAAACCAUAAAAUCAACACCACUAGUCAUCUAUCAAACAUGCCACAAUGGAACAUAUUUCCUGCCCAAGAGACACCCCCUACUUCUGCCUCAUGUAGAUCUUGUGCAAGAAGGACUUCAGAACCUUCUGAACGGCAACGCUCGGCUGGGCUUCGAUAUCAGCAAUCAGCUUCUUGUAGCUCUCGCUCUCGUACUCAUGGAAUACCGCCUGAAAGACAUAAUAGUCAAACCAGUGGUUAGACAAUGCCAUAUUUUGCAGAGUAUGAGAAUGCCAGUAGCUCUUAUUAUAUGAGACACA